GUGGCAAGAAACACGGCGACGUUGGGAUGCAAGGCUUUGAGCAUGACUCUCUUGACAACCACUUCUCUCGAGGAAAUAAACUGUUUGGCCAACAGCUUUAAAGGCACAUUUUGGACUGGUGGCUCUAGCGAGGGAAUCAAUUGCAAGGGCGAAAAACAAUACGCGUGGUGUUCAACUGGUCACUUGAUGUCUCCAUCUCUGCUCUCAAUGGCUAAAUUUUGGCUCUCAACCAACGCCAUGGCUGUUAAUACCGUGGAAAAAUGUCUGGCCCUCACAAUCUUGGACAGCACAAACAAAGGGAUGGUGCACAAGAAAUGCGACGAUGUGUUGCCUUUCGUUUGUCAGUUCUCGACCGACUGCCCACAGCAGUGCGACAGAAAUCCUUCAUUGUUUGAUUCAACUGGAAACUUGAAAAGUAAA